CUGUCAGCACAGAGCCCAAUGCGGGGCUCGAACCCACAAACCGUGAGAUCAUGACCUGAGCUGAAGUUGGAUGCUUAACUACCUGAGGCCCUCCAGGCGCCCCAAGAUUUCAUUUUUUCACUAAUAUCUACAUGCGACGUGAGGCUCCAACCUACAACCUGAGAUCACUAGUCGCACGCUCCACUGACCGAGCCAGCCAGGCGCCGCAACGGUGAGGUGGCCUUACAGAGACGCCCCCUCAUCUCCUGUGCUGCCUUUCUCCCUGCUCUCCAGCGGCCAUCCAUCUGGAGCCUGGGGGUUUUCCCCUGGCCCCAAGGAGGAAACCACUCUCCUGCCUGCCCAAAGCCCAGAAAGUGUGAGCCCCUGGGUCAGUCCCAGCCGCCUGACCCUCUAGGUGAAGUGUUUUGUGCCCAACUCCUGCUAUGACAAGUGCAUGUCCCACAUUGCCUGCUCCCGGCCUCUCUCCCCACUGUGGAGUCACCCCCAACCUACGGAGGCGGGAACUGAGUCCCUGGAGGGCCAGCCUGCUGUGACCAUGGUCAGGUUGGCAGAAUCUGACGAAAGACUGCAGGAGGGGAGGGCAUCAGCACCGAGAUCCUGGCUCAGGACCCGCCAGUCCCCGGGGAAGAAUGGUACCCUGAUGAUCCAAGAUCAGCCAGAGGCAAGGCGGGGAUCCGGGGACCCGGCGCCCCUCAGACAGCUCCAGAACCUCCACGUUCCUUCCAGGACCUCUAGCACCAGCGGGAACUUGUUAGAAACACAGAUGAGGGCACCUGGGUGGCUCAGUUUUCAGUCAGUUUUCAGCUCAGGUCAUGAUCUCGCGGUUUGAUGAGUUGGAGGCUGGCGUUGGGCUCUGCACUGACAGGGUGGAUCCUGCUUGGGAUUCUCGGUUUCCCUCUCGCUCUACACCACCCUCCCCCCAAAUAAAUAAACUUAAAAAGAAAUGCAGACGGGUCACCCCUACCUAGCCCAGACUUUUGGCAUUAGCAGGUCUGGGGCUGGUGCAACAAUCUGUUUUAAGGAGCUCUGCAGGCCAACACAGUGCGGUGCUGGCUCAAAUUUCAGAGGGGGUGGAGGGUGGGCUAGGAAGGGUGCGCGCGGGGCAUCCCGCCCAGGCCUGAGGUUGCAGGUGGCGCCAGAGCCCUCACCUGCGCCACCGGGAGGAUCACCCAAGUGGUGAUCGGGGUGGUUGUGGCGCGUUCCGGGUUGGUGCCUGCAGCACCCCUCGCCCGGGGUGCAGGCUGGCGGUGGGGUCAGCGCUUGGGCUGGGAGGGCGACUCGAGAUGGCUGCGCAGCCCUUCCAGAAAAGUCCUCGCUGCGGCCCGGGCUUGUCUGAUACGGUUUCGGUGAUUCUGGCUUCCCGAGGGUCCCCAGGGGACGGGGUCCUGACACGGCAGAACCUGCUCCCCGCCUGCGCCUACCGGUGGCUUGGCUGACCGCUCCGCCCCCCAGGGGAGGGGGCUCCGUGGCCCGACCCGC